rnacentral:rRNA from 1 species
CCUGCCCCUGACUCUGGGAUAAGCGUUGGAAACGACGUCUAAUACUGGAUAUGAUCACUGGCCGCAUGGUCUGGUGGUGGAAAGAUUUUNUGGUUGGGGAUGGACUCGCGGCCUAUCAGCUUGUUGGUGAGGUAAUGGCUCACCAAGGCGACGACGGGUAGCCGGCCUGAGAGGGUGACCGGCCACACUGGGACUGAGACACGACCNAAACUCAUACGGGAGGCAGCAGUGGGGAAUAUUGCACAAUGGGCGAAAGCCUGAUGCAGCAACGCCGCGUGAGGGAUGACGGCCUUCGGGUUGUAAACCUCUUUUAGUAGGGAAGAAGCGAAAGUGACGGUACCUGCAGAAAAAGCACCGGCUAACUACGUGCCAGCAGCCGCGGUAAUACGU